rnacentral:piRNA from 1 species
UACCUGAUUGUAAAAUUUCUCUGUAUGUG